rnacentral:sRNA from 1 species
UUUUUCUGUUUUUUUU